rfam:Triticum aestivum genome assembly, contig: Triticum_aestivum_CS42_TGACv1_scaffold_408017_5BL
GUAGUAUUACCUCUGUCCUAAAAUUCUUGUCUUAGAUUUGUUAAGUUACGGAUGUAUCUAACACUAAAGCGUGUCUUCAUACAUCCGUAUUUAGACAAAUAUAAGACAAGAAUUUUGGGACGAAGGGAGUACUAC